GCCCCCGUAGUUCAAUGGACAGAACUUCGGACUUCUAAGCCGAUAAUGCAAGUUCGAUUCUUGCCGGGGGCA
rnacentral:tRNA from 1 species